rnacentral:rRNA from 1 species
AGUGAACGCUGGCGGUAGGCCUAACACAUGCAAGUCGAACGGCAGCACAGUAAGAGCUUGCUCUUACGGGUGGCGAGUGGCGGACGGGUGAGGAAUACAUCGGAACCUACUUUUUCGUGGGGGAUAACGUAGGGAAACUUACGCUAAUACCGCAUACGACCUACGGGUGAAAGCAGGGGAUCUUCGGACCUUGCGCGAUUGAAUGAGCCGAUGUCGGAUUAGCUAGUUAGCGGGGUAAAGGCCCACCAAGGCGACGAUCCGUAGCUGGUCUGAGAGGAUGAUCAGCCACACUGGAACUGAGACACGGUCCAGACUCCUACGGGAGGCAGCAGUGGGGAAUAUUGGACAAUGGGCGCAAGCCUGAUCCAGCCAUACCGCGUGGGUGAAGAAGGCCUUCGGGUUGUAAAGCCCUUUUGUUGGGAAAGAAAAGCAGCAGGUUAAUACCCCGCUGUUCUGACGGUACCCAAAGAAUAAGCACCGGCUAACUUCGUG